AAACAACGAAAUGAAGGUUUGAUGAAAUUCAGGUUGAAAGUUUCUUUAUUUAUUUUUCUUUCUUUUUUCAUAUUUUUGUGUCUUUUUGCUCACAUAAAAAAUAAAACAUGGCGGAGUUUGUUAAUGUCUUUCCGAAGUUGUUCUCUCGGUCCAAAUGGGACCAAAUACCGCAAAAACAAAACAAAACGAAAAACAAAAAACGUCAAAACACAAAACCGCUCACAUUUUAACGCUUUUAAAUAAUUCUAAUGCAAAAUUAGCAUGAAUGGAGAAGAGGAGAAAAGAGAGACAGGAAAAUACCGACACACACACACACACACACACACACACACACACACACACACACACACACACACACACGCACACACACACACACGCGCGCGCGCGCGGAACAGGAGGAGAAAACGAAAAGUCGGGAAAAAGCGGUGAAUGCGCGCGGGGUGAAGCGGCUCGAAAGCGCGUCUGAUCGCAGUCACUUACUUGUCUGAGUCCUGUGACAUGGUGAUGUUUUUGGCCUCCUCGGCGAUAAUCCUGGAGGAACUGGACUUUCAGAAAAGAGCGAGGGACUAGAGCCACACUCCCACGGCUCUGAGCUGAGAAAGCGUCCACAGAUCAGGCACGAACAUGCAGACAGACAUGACCAGUGAGGAGAUGUUAAAGUGAGACACGACCCACACCUCAAGAUAACACACAGUGAGCUACACGGCGCGUCAGACGGCUGAGUCACUCACUUCAUGGAGGUAAUUAAAUAUUAUGACAUAUUUAGAUCUGUUACACAGUGGGAAGGCAUUUAUAUGGGUAGGGUAUGGUAAGUAAUAUGGGUAGUAAACUCUGGCUUAAUAAUAUCUCCAUAAAGAGCAUUAUAAAGAUAGAUAGAUA